GGUUGACCUCGGAUCAGGUAGGGAUACCCGCUGAACUUAAGCAUAUCAAUAAGCGGAGGAAAAGAAACCAACAGGGAUUGCCCCAGUAACGGCGAGUGAAGCGGCAAGAGCUCAAAUUUGAAAGCUGACUCCUUCGGGGUCCGCAUUGUAAUUUGCAGAGGAUGCUUCGGGAGCGGUCCCCAUCUAAGUGCCCUGGAACGGGACGUCAUAGAGGGUGAGAAUCCCGUAUGGGAUGGGGUGUCCGCGCCCGUGUGAAGCUCCUUCGACGAGUCGAGUUGUUUGGGAAUGCAGCUCUAAAUGGGUGGUAAAUUUCAUCUAAAGCUAAAUAUUGGCCGGAGACCGAUAGCGCACAAGUAGAGUGAUCGAAAGAUGAAAAGCACUUUGAAAAGAGAGUUAAAAAGCACGUGAAAUUGUUGAAAGGGAAGCGCUUGCGACCAGACUCGCUCGCGGGGUUCAGCCGGCAUUCGUGCCGGUGUAUUUCCCCGCGGGCGGGCCAGCGUCGGUUUGGGCGGUCGGUCAAAGGCCCUCGGAAGGUAACGCCCCCAGGGGCGUCUUAUAGCCGAGGGUGCAAUGCGACCUGCCUAGACCGAGGAACGCGCUUCGGCUCGGACGCUGGCAUAAUGGUCGUAAGCGACC
rnacentral:rRNA from 1 species